UACGGAGGGGGCUAGCGUUGUUCGGAAUUACUGGGCGUAAAGCGCACGUAGGCGGCUUUGUAAGUUAGAGGUGAAAGCCCGGGGCUCAACUCCGGAAUUGCCUUUAAGACUGCAUCGCUAGAAUUGUGGAGAGGUAAGUGGAAUUCCGAGUGUAGAGGUGAAAUUCGUAGAUAUUCGGAAGAACACCAGUGGCGAAGGCGA
rnacentral:rRNA from 1 species